UACAGAGGGUGCAAGCGUUGUUCGGAAUUAUUGGGCGUAAAGGGCGCGUAGGCGGUGCGGUAAGUCUGCGGUGAAAUCUCCCGGCUCAACUGGGAGGCUGCCGUGGAAACUGCCGUGCUUGAGUGUGGGAGAGGUGAGUGGAAUUCCCGGUGUAGCGGUGAAAUGCGUAGAUAUCGGGAGGAACAACUGUGGCGAAAGCGGCUCACUGGACCACAACUGACGCUGAGGCGCGAAAGCUAGGGGAGCAAACAGG
rnacentral:rRNA from 1 species